CGCGAAACCUUUACACUGCACGACAGUGAAUAGGGGGACUCCGAGUGCGAGGGCAUACAGUCCUCGCUUUUCUGUACCGUAAGGUGGUACAGGAACAAGUGCUGGGCAAGACCGGUGCCAGCCGCCGCGGUAAUACCGGCAGCACGAGUGAUGGCCGAUUUUAUUGGGCCUAAAGCGUCCGUAGCCGGCCGGACAAGUCCGUUGGGAAAUCGACGCGCCUAACGCGUCGGCGUCCAGCGGAAACUGUCCGGCUUGGGGCCGGAAGAUCCGAGGGGUACGUCCGGGGUAGGAGUGAAAUCCCGUAAUCCUGGACGGACCGCCGGUGGCGAAAGCGCCUCGGAAGGACGGACCCGACGGUGAGGGACGAAAGCCAGGGUCUCGAACCGGAUUAGAUACCCGGGUAGUCCUGGCCGUAAACGAUGCUCGCUAGGUGUGGCGCAGGCUACGAGCCUGCCUGUGCCGUAGGGAAGCCGUGAAGCGAGCCGCCUGGGAAGUACGUCUGCAAGGAUGAAACUUAAAGGAAUUGGCGGGGAGCACUACAACCGGAGGAGCUGCGGUUUAAUUGGACUCAACGCCGACAUCUCACCAGCACCGACAGUGUGCAGUGAAGGUCAGUUUGAUGAGCUUACUGGAGCCACUGAGAGGAGGUGCAUGGCCGCCGUCAGCUCGUACCGUGAGGCGUCCUGUUAAGUCAGGCAACGAGCGAGACCCGCACUCCUAGUUGCCAGCAACCCUUGCGGUGGUUGGGUACACUAGGAGGACUGCCGCUGCUAAAGCGGAGGAAGGAACGGGCAACGGUAGGUCAGUAUGCCCCGAAUGUGCUGGGCAACACGCGGGCUACAAUGGCCGGGACAAUGGGAAGCCAUCCCGAGAGGGAGCGCUAAUCCCCUAAACCCGGUCGUAGUUCGGAUUGAGGGCUGAAACUCGCCCUCAUGAAGCUGGAUUCGGUAGUAGUCGCGUGUCAGAAGCGCGCGGCGAAUACGUCCCUGCUCCU
rnacentral:rRNA from 1 species